rnacentral:misc_RNA from 1 species
UUCAAGGCCAAAAUAAGUGAUGACCCUUUAACCCCAGAAAGUCGCAAACUGCAUAUAUGGGCCUCCCAGCAUCUUCCUCAUCCUUGUGCCUCUCUACUAUUAUUCAUUUCUUGUGCUUCAACUUGCCAGCAGCCUCUUCCAUCCACAGCAACAAUGAGACAGAUGGACUUGCUUUGCUGGAAUUCAAGGCCAAAAUAAGUGAUGACCCUUUAACCCCAGAAAGUCGCAAACUGCAUAUAUGGGCCUCCCAGCAUCUUCCUCAUCCUUGUGCCUCUCUACUAUUAUUCAUUUCUUGUGCUUCAACUUGCCAGCAGCCUCUUCCAUCCACAGCAACAAUGAGACAGAUGGACUUGCUUUGCUGGAAUUCAAGGCCAAAAUAAGUGAUGACCCUUUUGGGUUCAUGAGCUCAUGGAAUAGUACUCUUCACUUCUGCCGCUGGUAUGGUGUCACCUGUGGGCGUAGACACCAAAGAGUCACAAUCUUAGACUUACAGUCCCUCAAACUUUCAGGUUCCAUAUCACCACAUGUUGGUAAUUUGAGCUUCUUAAGGGAGUUGUACCUUGCAAACAAUAGCUUCAUCCAUGAUAUCCCUCCUCAGAUUGGCCAUUUACGCAGACUGCAAAUUUUGUCUCUUUCUAACAAUUCAAUUGAUGGUCAAAUUCCUCCCACCAUAUCUAACUGUUCAAACCUUGUUAUCUUUGAUUUGGCUAACAACAAUCUCGUCCGAGAAAUCCCUAUGGAGCUUGGUUCCUUACUGAAGCUCAAAGAGAUCUAUUUACCUUACAAUAAUUUAGUAGGGACUCUCCCACCAUCUUUAGGGAAUUUGUCGUCCCUUCAGUUGCUUGCUGCAUAUCGAAAUCAUUUGAAUGGAGAUCUCCCAGAAACUUUAGGCCAAUUG